AGAAUCAACCAGUGGUGAUCGCUUUUCUGAAGUUAUAGCUGAAUCUACAGUAUUGAGUACUCUAAUACCCAGAAAUCAAUCAGAUCUGUCCGUUUUUUUUGUUGUGGCCUGCAUCUUGUCUUGUGCUUUUGAGUGGGCUUCUCACUCCCCCAGAAACUCCACUUUUCCCUUCAUCAGAUGGAAGUGAAUCUCAACCAAUCUUAGCUGCUGCAAGAAGCAGUGCUUUAAAUAGAUCAACUUCCUCAGCCAAGCCUUCAAGGUGCUGUUGCGUGGUGCGGGAAGCUAAAUGCCAUAGCUUGUGCCUCAGAAACUUGUGCAAGAAUUCCAAGAUGCGGUUCAUGAUGUGUCUCAGCAUAUGGAAGAGGUUCUUUGCAUUAUAAUCUCUUUGUGUUCGAUCUGUGGCAUUUGUCUUCCUCUUACCAUAAGCUCUAUCUACUGUGUUUUGAUUCCAGGU